UGGGUACAGCUUGAAUUUUACGUAGUACU
rnacentral:piRNA from 1 species